GAUGAACGCUGGCGGCGUGCCUAAUACAUGCAAGUCGAGCGAACAGACGAGGAGCUUGCUCCUCUGACGUUAGCGGCGGACGGGUGAGUAACACGUGGAUAACCUACCUAUAAGACUGGGAUAACUUCGGGAAACCGGAGCUAAUACCGGAUAAUAUAUUGAACCGCAUGGUUCAAUAGUGAAAGACGGUUUUGCUGUUACUUAUAGAUGGAUCCGCGCCGCAUUAGCUAGUUGGUAAGUUAACGGCUUACCAAGGCAACGAUGCGUAGCCGACCUGAGAGGGUGAUCGGCCACACUGGAACUGAGACACGGUCCAGACUCCUACGGGAGGCAGCAGUAGGGAAUCUUCCGCAAUGGGCGAAAGCCUGACGGAGCAACGCCGCGUGAGUGAUGAAGGUCUUCGGAUCGUAAAACUCUGUUAUUAGGGAAGAACAAAUGUGUAAGUAACUAUGCACGUCUUGACGGUACCUAAUCAGAAAGCCACGGCUAACUACGUG
rnacentral:rRNA from 1 species